rnacentral:rRNA from 1 species
UGGGGAAUAUUGCACAAUGGCCGGAAGCCUGAUGCAGCGACGCCGCGUGGGGGAUGACGGCCUUCGGGUUGUAAACUCCUUUCACCAUCGACGAAGGGUUUGUGACGGUACAUGGAUAAGAAGCACCGGCUAACUACGUG